rnacentral:ncRNA from 2 species
AUGAUGCCGCGCGACUGGCGAGAAAGUGGAGCAACACCACGAGGGAGCGCGGCAUACGUCAGCGCCGCUCGCCUGGGCCGCAUCG